rnacentral:lncRNA from 1 species
AGCGUCCCCGAAAAAUGAUAACUCUUAUCGGAUUCAACUUCAGCUUCGGGACUAAAUCAUAUCCAGGGUAUUCAAUCAACUCCAUCUUCGGGAUUCAGUCAACUUCAACUUAUAUUUUGCAGCGGUCUGGAUCUGGAUCUGGACAGAGGUGGUGUGAUCGGAGCUUGGUGUCUGGAUCUAGGACUGGGUUGUUACUUGUAAGAGUAUGGUCUAGAUGUGUCGAUUUAUAGGGUUUUGAUUGAAUCCCUCUUGAUCUUCCUCCUUAACGAUUCAGUCUCCGACGGCGACUGAGAACGAUCUGGUUGUUCUAGGAAUCGAGUUCAGAUGCGUUGACACUGCUCCUGAUGUUGUAAGCCGGUGCUUUCGAGAAUCAUCAUCUUUGUCUUUUCCCUUUUUUCAAUUUGUUUUUGAAUUUGGUUGUGUUUCACGUGUGGGUUAGAUGCAAUGGUUUUGCAUCAUCGUCUUUUUAAUCAGUUGGUGGAGGCUUUUAGAUUAACUGGGAGACGAUGAG